GAUGAACGCUGGCGGCGUGCCUAAUACAUGCAAGUCGAGCGAACGGACGAGAAGCUUGCUUCUCUGAUGUUAGCGGCGGACGGGUGAGUAACACGUGGAUAACCUACCUAUAAGACUGGGAUAACUUCGGGAAACCGGAGCUAAUACCGGAUAAUAUUUUGAACCGCAUGGUUCAAAAGUGAAAGACGGUCUUGCUGUCACUUAUAGAUGGAUCCGCGCUGCAUUAGCUAGUUGGUAAGGUAACGGCUUACCAAGGCAACGAUGCAUAGCCGACCUGAGAGGGUGAUCGGCCACACUGGAACUGAGACACGGUCCAGACUCCUACGGGAGGCAGCAGUAGGGAAUCUUCCGCAAUGGGCGAAAGCCUGACGGAGCAACGCCGCGUGAGUGAUGAAGGUCUUCGGAUCGUAAAACUCUGUUAUUAGGGAAGAACAUAUGUGUAAGUAACUGUGCACAUCUUGACGGUACCUAAUUAGAAAGCCACGGCUAACUGCGUG
rnacentral:rRNA from 1 species